UCUGUCUAAAGGAGAAGUGGUGAAUCUCUAAUAUGAGCUAAAUUGUGUCGUUUUCACACACAGUUCUCCCUCCGUUCAGUGUAGAAGCGUCAGCUUGAGCUCUGUCUUCAACUCUCUUCUCUGGUGAAUGUAAAUGAUGGAAACAUUGGUGACGUUCCUCCUCACUGGAUCUCUGAUACAAGGUGUUUUGUGUGGCUUUAAUAUCAAUCUGCCGAAUAAAGUAGAAGCUCUGAACGGAUCCUGUGUUUUCAUCCCCUGCACAUUUGAUAUUGAACAACAAUAUGAAAAAGAUCUCACUGACAGUGCAAAGAGAAUGUGGUUUAAAGUUGGAAGAAGUAUAGCUGUGUUUGACUCCAGCAGCCCCAACACUGGACUGUUAAAAGGAGAAAUAUUUGGCACUGCUCCACAGAAAAACUGCACCACACGCUUCGAUAAUGUUGAUCAGAGUCAUAAUGGGUCAUAUUACUUCAGACUUGAAGCUAAUGGUAGAUUGCAAUAUA